rnacentral:rRNA from 1 species
AGUGAACGCUGGCGGUAGGCCUAACACAUGCAAGUCGAACGGCAGCACAGUAAGAGCUUGCUCUUACGGGUGGCGAGUGGCGGACGGGUGAGGAAUACAUCGGAAUCUACUUUUUCGUGGGGGAUAACGUAGGGAAACUUACGCUAAUACCGCAUACGACCUACGGGUGAAAGCAGGGGAUCUUCGGACCUUGCGCGAUUGAAUGGGCCGAUGUCGGAUUAGCUAGUUGGCGGGGUAAAGGCCCACCAAGGCGACGAUCCGUAGCUGGUCUGAGAGGAUGAUCGGCCACACUGGAACUGAGACACGGUCCAGACUCCUACGGGAGGCAGCAGUGGGGAAUAUUGGGCAAUAGGCGCAAGCCUGGUCCAGCCAUACCGCGUGGGUUAAGAAGGCCUUCGGGUUGUAAAGCCCUUUUGUUGGGAAAGAAAAGCAGCAGGUUAAUACCCCGCUGUUCUGACGGUACCCAAAGAAUAAGCACCGGCUAACUUCGUG